GUCGCUACUACCGAUUGAACGUUUUAGUGAGGUAUUUGGAUUGGAGCUCCGGAGGUUUGCGCCUCUGGUGAUACCGAGAAGACUCCCAAACUUGAGCGUUUAGAGGAAGUAA
rnacentral:rRNA from 1 species